CUGAUUAUCUACUUUUAUUCUUUUUAACUUAGAUUCUAGUGCAACAUUUUUGUAUUAAUCUACUUAAACAUAAACACACUGGGUUUUGUUAAAGUUUAUAUAUAUGAAGCUCCACAUUGAUUACUAAGCAUAGUACUAACUUUGAGAUAUGUAGCGCGAAGUGAAUAGUCAAGUAAUCAUCCACAGUGCGGAUAUUGUUAAUGAUAUUACCGAAAUCACUAGAGUGUC